rnacentral:rRNA from 1 species
UACAGAGGUCUCAAGCGUUGUUCGGAUUCAUUGGGCGUAAAGAGCGUGUAGGCGGUCCGGUAAGUCCGCUGUGAAAGUCGGGGGCUCAACCCUCGAAUGCCGGUGGAUACUGUCGGGCUAGAGUGCGGAAGAGGCGAGUGGAAUUCCUGGUGUAGCGGUGAAAUGCGCAGAUAUCAGGAGGAACACCUAUUGCGAAGGCAGCUCGCUGGGACGGUACUGACGCUGAGGCGCGAAAGCGUGGGGAGCGAACAGG